rnacentral:rRNA from 1 species
GAUGAACGCUGGCGGCGUGCCUAAUACAUGCAAGUCGAGCGAACCACUUCGGUGGUGAGCGGCGAACGGGUGAGUAACACGUAGGUGAUCUGCCCAUCAGACGGGGACAACGAGUGGAAACGAUCGCUAAUACCGGAUAGGACGAAAGUUUAAAGGUGCUUCUGGCACCGCUGAUGGAUGAGCCUGCGGCGCAUUAGCUAGUUGGUAGGGUAAAGGCCUACCAAGGCGACGAUGCGCAGCCGACCUGAGAGGGUGAACGGCCACACUGGGACUGAGACACGGCCCAGACUCCUACGGGAGGCAGCAGUAGGGAAUCUUCGGCAAUGGGCGAAAGCCUGACCGAGCAACGCCGCGUGAAUGAUGAAGGCCUUCGGGUUGUAAAAUUCUGUUAUAAGGGAAGAACGACUUUAGUAGGAAAUGGCUAGAGUGUGACGGUACCUUAUGAGAAAGCCACGGCUAACUACGUGCCAGCCGCCGCUGUAA